GAUGAACGCUGGCGGCGUGCCUAAUACAUGCAAGUCGAGCGAACGGACGAGAAGCUUGCGUCUCUGAUGUUAGCGGCGGACGGGUGAGUAACACGUGGAUAACCUACCUAUAAGACUGGGAUAACUUCGGGAAACCGGAGCUAAUACCGGAUGAUAUUUUGAACCGCAUGGUUCAAAAGUGAAAGACGGUCUUGCUGUCACGUAUAGAUGGAUCCGCGCUGCAUUAGCUAGUUGGUAAGGUAACGGCUUACCAAGGCAACGAUGCAUAGCCGACCUGAGAGGGUGAUCGGCCGCCCUGGAACUGAGCCACGGUCCAGACUCCUACGGGAGGCAGCAGUAGGGAAUCUUCCGCAAUGGGCGAGAGCCUGGCGGAGCAGCGCCGCGUGAGUGAUGAAGGUCUUCGGAUCGUAAAACUCUGUUAUUAGGGAAGAACAUAUGUGUAAGUAACUGUGCACAUCUUGACGGUACCUAAUCAGAAAGCCCCGGCUAACUACGUG
rnacentral:rRNA from 1 species